rnacentral:lncRNA from 10 species
AACCAAAGUGGAAAUUCAGGUUCUGAACUUGUGUGAGGCCCUUGAGGUGCAGCCCCAGGGAAAGAGGGGCUGGGUUUCCAGCUGCGCUACUCUUGCCCCGCAGACAUAGAUGAGUGCAGCCAGGACCCGAGCCUGUGCCUUCCCCAUGGGGCCUGCAAGAACCUUCAGGGCUCCUAUGUGUGUGUCUGCGAUGAGGGCUUCACUCCCACCCAGGACCAGCACGGUUGUGAGGAGGUGGAGCAGCCCCACCACAAGAAGGAGUGCUACCUGAACUUCGAUGACACAGUGUUCUGCGACAGCGUAUUGGCCACCAACGUGACCCAGCAGGAGUGCUGCUGCUCUCUGGGGGCCGGCUGGGGCGACCACUGCGAAAUCUACCCCUGCCCAGUCUACAGCUCAGGUCAGGAGCCGGGCAGGCCCCUUCCCAGAUCUUCAGUUUCUUCAUCUGGAAGCCAAAUGUGGGAAAUGGCGCCCCCUGGCAGUUGGGAAAUAGGCGGCGGGCUGCAGCCCUAAGCCCACGCGCGCGCUCAG